rnacentral:rRNA from 1 species
AUUGAACGCUGGCGGCAGGCCUAACACAUGCAAGUCGAGCGGUAGCACAGAGAGCUUGCUCUCGGGUGACGAGCGGCGGACGGGUGAGUAAUGUCUGGGAAACUGCCUGAUGGAGGGGGAUAACUACUGGAAACGGUAGCUAAUACCGCAUAACGUCGCAAGACCAAAGUGGGGGACCUUCGGGCCUCAUGCCAUCAGAUGUGCCCAGAUGGGAUUAGCUAGUAGGUGGGGUAAUGGCUCACCUAGGCGACGAUCCCUAGCUGGUCUGAGAGGAUGACCAGCCACACUGGAACUGAGACACGGUCCAGACUCCUACGGGAGGCAGCAGUGGGGAAUAUUGCACAAUGGGCGCAAGCCUGAUGCAGCCAUGCCGCGUGUGUGAAGAAGGCCUUCGGGUUGUAAAGCACUUUCAGCGGGGAGGAAGGCGUUAAGGUUAAUAACCUUGGCGAUUGACGUUACCCGCAGAAGAAGCACCGGCUAACUCCGUGCCAGCAGCCGCGGUAAUACGGAGGGUGCAAGCGUUAAUCGGAAUUACUGGGCGUAAAGCGCACGCAGGCGGUCUGUCAAGUCGGAUGUGAAAUCCCCGGGCUCAACCUGGGAACUGCAUUCGAAACUGGCAGGCUAGAGUCUUGUAGAGGGGGGUAGAAUUCCAGGUGUAGCGGUGAAAUGCGUAGAGAUCUGGAGGAAUACCGGUGGCGAAGGCGGCCCCCUGGACAAAGACUGACGCUCAGGUGCGAAAGCGUGGGGAGCAAACAGGAUUAGAUACCCUGGUAGUCCACGCCGUAAACGAUGUCGAUUUGGAGGUUGUGCCCUUGAGGCGUGGCUUCCGGAGCUAACGCGUUAAAUCGACCGCCUGGGGAGUACGGCCGCAAGGUUAAAACUCAAAUGAAUUGACGGGGGCCCGCACAAGCGGUGGAGCAUGUGGUUUAAUUCGAUGCAACGCGAAGAACCUUACCUACUCUUGACAUCCAGAGAACUUAGCAGAGAUGCUUUGGUGCCUUCGGGAACUCUGAGACAGGUGCUGCAUGGCUGUCGUCAGCUCGUGUUGUGAAAUGUUGGGUUAAGUCCCGCAACGAGCGCAACCCUUAUCCUUUGUUGCCAGCGGUCCGGCCGGGAACUCAAAGGAGACUGCCAGUGAUAAACUGGAGGAAGGUGGGGAUGACGUCAAGUCAUCAUGGCCCUUACGAGUAGGGCUACACACGUGCUACAAUGGCAUAUACAAAGAGAAGCGACCUCGCGAGAGCAAGCGGACCUCAUAAAGUAUGUCGUAGUCCGGAUUGGAGUCUGCAACUCGACUCCAUGAAGUCGGAAUCGCUAGUAAUCGUGGAUCAGAAUGCCACGGUGAAUACGUUCCCGGGCCUUGUACACACCGCCCGUCACACCAUGGGAGUGGGUUGCAAAAGAAGUAGGUAGCUUAACCUUCGGGAGGGCGCUUACCACUUUGUGAUUCAUGACUGGGGUGA